rnacentral:rRNA from 1 species
UUUGAUGGCGACCGGCGCACGGGUGAGUAACACGUAUCCAACCUGCCGAUGACUCGGGGAUAGCCUUUCGAAAGAAAGAUUAAUACCCGAUGGCAUAGUUCUUCCGCAUGGUAGAACUAUUAAAGAAUUUCGGUCAUCGAUGGGGAUGCGUUCCAUUAGGUUGUUGGCGGGGUAACGGCCCACCAAGCCUUCGAUGGAUAGGGGUUCUGAGAGGAAGGUCCCCCACAUUGGAACUGAGACACGGCCCAGACUCCUACGGGAGGCAGCAUG